GAGCAAACACAGCUCUUUUAGAAUUAUUCUAGCAGAAUUUCUAAUUUUGGUUGGAAAACCCAU
ensembl:snRNA U7 U7 small nuclear RNA